rnacentral:lncRNA from 1 species
CAUCUGCAUAAUGAUUUUUUAUUUACUGUUUAUUGUGGUAAUAUAUAUAGGACACAAAGUUUCUUGCUUUAGUCAGUUUUCACGUGUAUAUUUCUUGGCAGUUAUUACCUGCCCUUACUCCUAAAUUUCCUGAAUUUCAUAUCAUCCAAACUUUAGCAAUAAUACCCAUCCUUCCUUCAGCCAGUCCCGUUAGCACUCAUCUUUCUGUCUAUAACUUCGCAUGUGACCAAUAUUCUGCAUAAAUGUAAUUCGAUAAUAGGUGUUCUUUGUCUGCCUUUUUCUAUUAGCAUACUGUGUUUGGGUUUCAUCUGUGUUUUACAGAGCGUGGUCAGAAUUCCAUUCUUUUUAUGGGGAUAAUGCUGCAGCCUAUAGGACACCACACUUCAUUGACUCCUCCAUCUGCCGGAGGACAGCUGGGACGGCUUUUGCCUUUUACUUUUAUGAAUAAUGCCACUGGAAACUUGGUUACAUGUAUCUAUCUGAGUCCCCACUUUCAAGCGGUUUGGGGGAUAGAUGUGAAAUUUUUGGGUCAUAUAACUCAGUAAUUCAGUAUUUAAUGUAUAGAAGAACAUGAUCAUUGUUUUACAGUAGUUUUGUUCUUUUUUUUUUUUUUUUACUCUUUUGUUAAUGUUCAUUUAUUUAUUUAUUUAUUUAUUUAUUUUACGUUUUUGCUUGUCACCUUGUUUGACUUUUGUUGCUUGAGUUUUAAAUAAAUGUUUGUUUUGGUCAUUCAUUUUUUUCCUAUCCUUUUCAAUUGUUUGUUUUUCAGACCCGAGUCAGAACUCCAUCACAGGGGAGCACAGCCAGCUGUUAGGUAUAGUAUUGCUCUGGGAAGUAUCUCUGUAAAGUCUCCCUCUUUGUCCCUGAAGACAUUACCUACUUCCCUCCAUUGCUAUUUUGAUUCUUUCACUUUGCUCUUCACUCCUCAAGCUUCUCACUGUUUAUUUACAAUUUGGUAAGAUAUAUGAAGCUACUUUUGUAAUUAAUUAUUAAAAUCAGUAGUCAGUACAAUUUUUAAUUAUAUUUUAAAAGGUAACUUUACAUAAUCUGUAGCU